GUGGGGAAUCUUGCGCAAUGGGCGAAAGCCUGACGCAGCCAUGCCGCGUGAAUGAUGAAGGUCUUAGGAUUGUAAAAUUCUUUCACCGGGGACGAUAAUGACGGUACCCGGAGAAGAAGCCCCGGCUAACUUCGUGCCAGCAGCCGCGGUAAUACGAAGGGGGCUAGCGUUGCUCGGAAUUACUGGGCGUAAAGGGCGCGUAGGCGGACAGUUUAGUCAGAGGUGAAAGCCCAGGGCUCAACCUUGGAAUUGCCUUUGAUACUGGCUGUCUUGAGUACGGGAGAGGUGAGUGGAACUCCGAGUGUAGAGGUGAAAUUCGUAGAUAUUCGGAGGAACACCAGUGGCGAAGGCGGCUCACUGGCUCGAUACUGACGCUGAGGUGCGAAAGCGUGGGGAGCAAACAGGAUUAGAUACCCGUGUAGUCC
rnacentral:rRNA from 1 species